rnacentral:rRNA from 1 species
GACGUAGGGUGCGAGCGUUGUCCGGAUUUAUUGGGCGUAAAGAGCUCGUAGGCGGCUCGUCGCGUCGACCGUGAAAACCCGCGGCUUAACUGCGGGCUUGCGGUUGAUACGGGCGGGCUAGAGUUCGGUAGGGGAGACUGGAAUUCCUGGUGUAGCGGUGAGAUGCGCAGAUAUCAGGAGGAACACCGGUGGCGAAGGCGGGUCUCUGGGCCGAUACUGACGCUGAGGAGCGAAAGCGUGGGGAGCGAACAGG